CAAGGUUAAGAAUGCCUCAAAAAAUGUUAGGUAAUGCCAUUUACAACCAUUUAAAUAAACAACACCCUUAAUGCACCGAAGAUCGUUAAUAAAACAAGUUACAAUAUCAGACUACACAUAGAUCUCAAAACCAAUUUCAUUACGUCAAUUUUUUGAGUUUUAUAAAAAGCUGGUUUGAGUCAUUCUUUUUUUUCUUUUUUUCCUAUUUUGAAUUUAUAUUUGAAAAUGUCGGUGGAAGUAAAGUGAUUUUUUCACAGGAUCAGCAGAUGGUCGGCCCUAAACUUUCCACUGCUGAGCGAAUGAUGUAAGAGAGAGGUGGUUAGAGGAUUGCUUGCUGGCAAAAGCACAAGAGAGCUUAAAGAAAUACUAAAAAGUAAAAUGUAAACGUUUUGACCGGAGAACAGCAGCAGACAAGCUGACUGGGUUAAAAGAGGAAAACAGCACUGUUGCAUAAGCUGGGAAUUUGCAGCCAGAGCAUGGGGGAAGAUAAUGGGCCAGGAGAUAUGCGGAACAUGGACACUCAGGAAUAUUUUUCUUUUGACAAGAUUGUUAAUUUGCAUUGGUUGAAAAAUAAGGAAGUCCGCAGUAAAUAAGACAUGCUAGUCUUCAUUGUAAAACAGUAGUGUUGUUUUAAAAGUGAACAGCUCGAUAUUAGCAUGGCCUUUGUGUGGGUCCAGUGAUCUCAUUUAUCACUUCAUUAUGGGUGGAGGGAGUUACACAAAGCAUUGUCUCAUUGCUGUCUUCUCUCUGACUCAGAGGGGCUUACAAUUAGUGGGGUGGGGUUGUUUGAGUGGAAUUCAAAUUGUAUUUUGCUUAAGAAAAAUUCACCUCUGUACACUGUUGAGCAAAUGAGGGUGUUUAAUUUUUUUUUUUUUUUUUUAAAGCGUUGCAACCCUACUGUGCAUUUUGGCUUUGGACGUGAUUGUGGGAGAGUCUUCCAGAAAUAACAGGCAAAAUCAUAUUUUCCGAAAACGUAGGCCGUUGACUGCAGACACAGAAUAAGUAGUGCUUGUUAUGCACAAUAUUUAUUUUGGAACAACAUUAUUAUUGCAUUUAAUAAUCUAAAGCGGAAGCGUAGGGGUUGAGAAAACCUCACUAUCAACAGUGUCUGUUUCAAGGACAGAUAUGCCAGCUCUCUUCACACUGUCCAUUUGUUCUGUUACCAACACAAUAUAUAGUAUGUUGUGGGAUAACUAUCCAACACCCUGUCGUGGCCCAACACUGUCCCAAAACCACGUAUUAGGUUUGACCAGCAAGAGAGCAAAAUGUGAUGUGGAGGGUAUUUGUUAUAUAUAUUUUCCAAAUACAGUGUUUCGUCUCUAUUUCACUAUCUGACUUGCAGAUCUAAAUAUUGAGAAUGGUGAAUUAGUGAAGGAAUAGUCCAAGACUAGUGUAGCACUUUACCGUUUCCUGCCAUCAUGAACAGGGAAAUAGGCAGGGAGAGCUGUAUGUAAUAAAGGAGGGUAAUAAUGCAAGCACUGGGGAAAAAUCAGCAGAAUUCAAAUAUAGUGAAGGGGUGGCUGUAGUGAGGUGUAUUGCUAUUUAGCUAAAAUACAUGUUAAUUGUGCUGUGUUUUUUUUUCUAAAACAAGAUCACUUGAAUCUACAUUUCCCAUAUCAGCUAGCUUAAACGGAAUACCAGGAAAAGCAAAUUGAUUUCCUUCUUUCCUGAAGUUUUGUUUUAUACUGAUGAUAAUGUAACCCCUCCAGUGUUUGUCUCUGCUAGGUUAUCAUUCAGAGUUCAGCCUGUGUGAUAAAAAAAAACAAAGCCUACAAAAGUUUCCUUGGAGCUCCUGCCGCUAAAGGGACUUUUUAAACAGGGGUUUUAACAACGCCUUGCUACAAGUGGGCCCUGUUUCUGUCUGUCACGCAUCAGAGACCACUUACUGACACCGUUAAAAAAAUAACAAAUCACAUUUCAUGUUAUGCAGUCUUGAGGUUCAAAUAUUGGAAAUGGAAACUCCGAAAAAAAAGUUGCUUCAGCGUGCCUGCUUUCCAGACCCGACAGACCGUGCUGAAUAUUUCUUCUCUUGAUUUUUCAUAGUCAUCGGGGGCAGGAUUUCAAAGAGCAAUUGGCGGGUCUGGGGGACCUCCCCCAUACACUUUUCAAAUGCUGCAUUUUGGCUCUCGGCACACUGUCAAUUCUUAUGUAACAAACUGACAUUACUGACUCCUGA